CAAAAACAUCGCCUUUAGCCACAACAAGUAUUAAAGGUCCCGCCUGCCCAGUGAAACUUCUUUUCAACGGCCGCGGUAUCCUAACCGUGCAAAGGUAGCACAAUCACUUGUCCCCUAAAUAGGGACCCGUAUGAACGGCUAACUGAGGGCACAACUGUCUCCUAGGCCCAAUCAAUGAAAUUGACCCCCCAGUACAAAGGCUGGGAUUAACACACAAGACGAGAAGACCCUGUGGAACUUUAAACGAACCCGCUACCACAUCAAACCAAACCCCACAUGGGGUCCAAACACACGUACAAUAGCGAAUACUUUAAGUUGGGGCGACUGCGGAGUAAAACAAACCCUCCGUGAAACAAGGGCCUCCCGCCACUAACGGCAGACAAGCCUACAAGAUUAAUACUAUGACCCAGAUAACUGAGCAACGAACCAAGCUACCCCAGGGAUAACAGCGCCAUCCCCCUCAAGAGUCCAUAUCGACAGGGGGGCUUACGACCUCGAUGUUGGAUCAGGACCCCCAAGUGGUGCAGCCGCUACUAAUGGUCCGUUUGUUCAACGGUUAAUGUCCUACGUGAUCUGAGUUCAGACCGGA
rnacentral:rRNA from 1 species